rnacentral:rRNA from 1 species
AUUGAACGCUGGCGGCAGGCCUAACACAUGCAAGUCGAACGAGUGGCGGACGGGUGAGUAAUGUCUGGGAAACUGCCUGAUGGAGGGGGAUAAAUACUGGAAAAGGUAGCUAAUACCGCAUAACAUAGGAUGUGCCCAGAGGGGAUUAGCUAGUAGGUGGGGUAAAGGCUCACCUAGGCGACGAUCCCUAGCUGGUCUGAGAGGAUGACCGGCCACACUGGAACUGAGACACGGUCCAGACUCCUACGGGAGGCAGCAUUGGGGAAUAUUGCACAAUGGGCGCAAGCCUGAUGCAGCCAUGCCGCGUGUAUGAAGAAGGCCUUCGGGUUGUAAAGUACUUUCAGCGGGGAGGCGUUACCCGCAGAAGAAGCACCGGCUAACUCCGUGCCAGCAGCCGCGGUAAUUC